GGCAGUUCGUAGUGACUGCGGAGGAUCAUUACCGAGUGAGGGCCCUCUGGGUCCAACCUCCCACCCGUGUUUAUUUUACCUUGUUGCUUCGGCGGGCCCGCCUUAACUGGCCGCCGGGGGGCUUACGCCCCCGGGCCCGCGCCCGCCGAAGACACCCUCGAACUCUGUCUGAAGAUUGUAGUCUGAGUGAAAAUAUAAAUUAUUUAAAACUUUCAACAACGGAUCUCUUGGUUCCGGCAUCGAUGAAGAACGCAGCGAAAUGCGAUACGUAAUGUGAAUUGCAAAUUCAGUGAAUCAUCGAGUCUUUGAACGCACAUUGCGCCCCCUGGUAUUCCGGGGGGCAUGCCUGUCCGAGCGUCAUUUCUGCCCUCAAGCACGGCUUGUGUGUUGGGCCCCGUCCUCCGAUCCCGGGGGACGGGCCCGAAAGGCAGCGGCGGCACCGCGUCCGGUCCUCGAGCGUAUGGGGCUUUGUCACCCGCUCUGUAGGCCCGGCCGGCGCUUGCCGAUCAACCCAAAUUUUUAUCCAGGUUGACCUCGGAUCAGGUAGGGAUACCCGCUGAACUUAAGCAUAUCAUAANCCGGAGGAA
rnacentral:rRNA from 1 species